rnacentral:rRNA from 1 species
GAUCUGCCGAAUGGAGGGGGACAACAGUUGGAAACGACUGCUAAUACCGCAUAAUGUCGCGAGACCRAAGCAUGGGACCUUAGGGCCAUGCGCCAUUUGAUGAACCCAUAUGGGAUUAGCUAGUAGGUGAGGUAAUGGCUCACCUAGGCGACGACCUCUAGCUGGUCUGAGAGGAUGACCAGCCACACUGGGACUGAGACACGGCCCANACUCCUACGGGAGGCAGCAGUGGGGAAUAUUGCACAAUGGGGGAAACCCUGAUGCAGCCAUGCCGCGUGUAUGAAGAAGGCCUUCGGGUUGUAAAGUACUUUCGGUAGCGAGGAAGGGGUUAUAUCUAAUAGGUGUAACCAUUGACGUUAACUACAGAAGAAGCACCGGCUAACUCCGUGCCAGCAGCCGCGGUAAUACGGAGGGUGCGAGCGUUAAUCGGAAUGACUGGGCGUAAAGGGCAUGU